CACCCUUCGGUUGGAGUUCUUGACCGCGCCUGGUGACUGCAACAACUGGAAUUACUACUUCCCUAAUAUGUGUCCACCAGCGAACGACAAGAUAACCGGGGUAUGCCAAGCACAACUCUUCCUGUACGGCACCGUCUAUCUAGUCGAGCGUUCAUGGUGCGAGCAUGUCAACGAACGUUGUCGGUCGCAUAAAAAAGACGGUCACCUUAAAUUAUUUUCUAUG